GUGGGGAAUCUUGCGCAAUGGGCGAAAGCCUGACGCAGCCAUGCCGCGUGAAUGAUGAAGGUCUUAGGAUUGUAAAAUUCUUUCACCGGGGACGAUAAUGACGGUACCCGGAGAAGAAGCUCCGGCUAACUUCGUGCCAGCAGCCGCGGUAAUACGAAGGGGGCUAGCGUUGCUCGGAAUUACUGGGCGUAAAGGGCGCGUAGGCGGACAGCUUAGUCAGAGGUGAAAGCCCAUGGCUCAACCUUGGAAUUGCCUUUGAUACUGGCUGUCUUGAGUUUGGGAGAGGUGAGUGGAACUCCGAGUGUAGAGGUGAAAUUCGUAGAUAUUCGGAAGAACACCAGUGGCGAAGGCGACUCACUGGCCCAAUACUGACGCUGAGGCGCGAAAGCGUGGGGAGCAAACAGGAUUAGAUACCCGGGUAGUCC
rnacentral:rRNA from 1 species